UACGGAGGGUGCAAGCGUUAUCCGGAUUCACUGGGUUUAAAGGGUGCGUAGGAGGGCAGGUAAGUCAGUGGUGAAAUCUCCAAGCUUAACUUGGAAACUGCCGUUGAUACUAUCUGUCUUGAAUAUUGUGGAGGUGAGCGGAAUACGUCAUGUAGCGGUGAAAUGCUUAGAUAUGACAUAGAACACCAAUUGCGAAGGCAGCUCGCUACACAUAUAUUGACUCUGAGGCACGAAAGCGUGGGGAUCAAACAGG
rnacentral:rRNA from 1 species